UUUUUAUUGAAAGAAUUUGUUUCAGGUUUAUAAUUCUCAUUAUCUUUUUAUUCACAUAAUAUUUUAUUUAUUUCAGCUGUCAAAGAUACAAGCUUCUAUUAAAAGCAAGGAUUUCAAACAACUUGGAGAUUCUAUUGAAGAGGGUGCUUCAUAUACUACAGAAAAGUUCUUGGUCCAAUUUAAUAAAGAAAAUUUUAAACCAACAAAUCACAAAUACAAGCUAACUUUGAUAGGAAGCACUAUUAUAACCAAAACAUCUUAUGAUAAAAUUCCUGCAAAUUUGUUUAACUUCACAAAAUUUCAGGACAUUAUUGGUGGUACUGAUAACGGUGUUUUAAUGGAUGUCAUUGGCCAUGUGGUUGGAACGACUGACAUUAAGGAUGUUCAAGUAAAAGGAAAAAUGACUAAAAUCUUGGACUUGACUCUUGAAGACCUUGAGAGCAAUACAAUCAUUUGUACUUUAUGGGGUCAUUUUGCUGAACAAAUGAAUAGGUAUAUGAGCACAAAUGGAAAUACUUUUUCAAUUGUAG